AUUGUUCGUGCACCAGCCAUUCCUAUCGGCAGGGAGUUUUACCUUAAUCAUUUACUUCUCCUCUAUUCCCCACAAUUUGCUCGAGAAUGGAUAGUACAACUAUGUGGCCGCAUAAGGAGGUUCCCCCGGGCAACUUGGAUACCUCAAAGAUCGAGGUUAGGUUGAUUAUUUUGUCAUUGUGGUCCCAAAGACCCUUACAAAGUUACCUAUCUCAUAUCUUAGAGUACUUAUCGUAAGAAACCCGAGCUGGGGCAUUUAUUUUAUACAGUAUUCUUUUUUAUUAGUUAUUGUCAAUAGAUUAUCACCAAGUAAAUUUCUGCAUCAUCUCAUUGGUUCCCUCUUAGAAGAAUCACCUAUCUCCAUUUGAUUAGAGAGUUUUGCUCAUGGAUAGAGAAGGUUUUGAACAUAUCCACAAUUGCUAGUCGAUCUUAGGUGCAUAUCCAACUAGUUCGAUUGGGAAGAAAAGAACCACUGUACUUUUAACACCUUACACUUCUUACUAUUUUCUUUAGAUUGAUUUUUUUCCUUAGAACUUCUUGCAAAACUGACAUCUAGUUCUAUGAUUAUAUCAUCCUAGAUUGUUGCUACCAAUUUAAUGAGCCAAGAUACUAAAGGUUGACUUUGUGCCUUUGAUGAUGUUACGACGGACCAUGUCCUCGAGGUUAAGCCUCAAUCUAUUAAAGGGAAGAAAAGAAAAAGGCCAGACUUGUUAGUAGAAGGGGUUUGCUUUCGGGGUUAUUUCUUAAGAUAAAGGCUCUGAGGGUCUAUGGACGCAUCACCAAUCCAGAGAAUGGGUGCUCUUAUCAUAACUUGUUUCAAAUUUAUAGGUCUAUUCAAGAAGCUAGAGAAAGUUAUAAGCCCCAGUCAGAUUGCCUAAAUAAUGAAGUAGGUGUCUCUCCAUAAUUCUCCUUGGAAGUCCCUGUCGAGCAUAGAAUUUUAAAACAUAUUAUCUUAAUGCCUUUUUUGGCAUUAUCCCACUAUGGUUUAUGUAGUCCUUCAUAUCACAUCUGACUUUUCACGCUUUCUGGAUUGGGGCCUAAUGCAAUAUCAAAUGGCAGUGCUAUAUAUUCCUAGUGAAGUCAAUUUCCUGUCAAUGCCGGUAUCAUAUCUGCCAAAAAUCACCAAAGGAUGGAUGAGGCAUCUACUGAGUGUCUUAUCAAUGAGUUCUCAUGCCGCUGCUAGGUUAGUAACUUACAUACCUCGCGUCUGUUUCUUUAGAUUCAAUUUUUCUAUUUUAAUAAGAUAUUUAUUAUUUCGCUACAGGCCAGUUAGCGGCAUAAAGCCUUUCCAGAAAGACAGAGAGCUUCUUAGAGACUUUUGGCUGUCUUGAGGUUCGUUUGUCAAGGGUUACCCAAGGAGCCUCAUUUUGCUUUCAUGCUCGCUAAAGCAUUCUUCGGGAUUGCAUCCAAUCUAUCUAGUUAUGAUUUUUUACAAUCCAUCAAUCGUGCCUCUACAUCGUGAAAUUAUGUGAAGAUGUGUUGACAGGUAUUUUCCUACUAGAGAGUUACCUUCACUAAGGUCAAGAAUUUUUGGUAGCCAAAAUAGCUUGGCCACAAUCGAGGGAUGCCUUCAAGCCAUUUUGUGAUCCCUUUUAAGCUUGUUCCUUUUGUAGCUCGUAGCUUGUAGCUUUCCUCGGCUUUAUAAUUUAUAUCCUAUUAGGUUUUGUAUCUUGUAAUUUAUAACCCUUUUGGGCUUAAUUGAGGAAGGAUUUUCCACAAUUUCAU
rnacentral:lncRNA from 1 species